GGAAAGAGGGAGGGUGAGGUAAGGCUUGCUUGCCUUCGGAAAGAUGAUCCGACAUGGGACUGCUAAGAAAAAACUGACCUCCUUGAGGCAGGAUCAUAGAAUUACAAUUUACUAUCAUCAAUAAAAGUAACAGCCUCCAUUAUUCAAGCACUUCAUAAGAACUUUAUACGCAUUAUUGCCUCUAAAUCUCCACAGCUUUGAAAGGAAAGUUUUUUAUGCCAAAGUGGAGGAUGACCUGUAGAAGAGAUGGAAGAAAGAGAAGGCUGGGGUCAUCUCAAAGAAAAAUUGGGUUGGAUUAAAAAAAAAAAUCUUCAAUUACCGAAGAGGAAUGACAGUGGAAAUGCCUUUCUCCACUCCCCUUCCCAAAGGGAGGCUUAGUUGGACCACAGAGGACC